rnacentral:rRNA from 1 species
GACGGAGGAUGCAAGCGUUAUCCGGAAUUAUUGGGCGUAAAGCGUCCGCAGGUGGCUGUUCAAGUCUGCUGUCAAAGCGCAGAGCUUAACUCUGUACAGGCGGUGGAAACUGAAGAGCUAGAGUAUGGUAGGGUAGAGGGAAUUCCCGGUGUAGCGGUGAAAUGCGUAGAUAUCGGGAAGAACACCAGUGGCGAAAGCGCUCUACUGGGCCAUAACUGACACUGAGGGACGAAAGCUAGGGGAGCGAAAGGG